UAGGGAGACCUAAUCCAUUUAGAAAUCGAAAACAAUGAAGAUUGUCAAUAGAAACUAAAUUGGUCUAACCUAGGUCGUUCGAGAUUGGUAGACAUCUUUCAAAGUAUUAUUCGGCUUCGUUCAAGACCAUAUAUAAUAAAUGGAAAAAGACAGCACCUAAUUGUCAAAGUUAGACUGCUGGAUGAAGUUCCAGCCAGAACCUUGAAAACUGCAUAAGAGAACAAGAAAAAGCAGGCAGACACAGACAUUUAGAUGGAUGUGGAAGCAAAAGAAAUUGU
rnacentral:misc_RNA from 1 species